rnacentral:tRNA from 1 species
GGAGACAUGGCCGAGAGGUCGAAGGCGCUCCCCUGCUAAGGGAGUAUAUGGGCUAAAACUCGUAUCGAGGGUUCGAAUCCCUCUGUCUCCGCCA